ensembl:lncRNA
UGAAAUUCUUGUGGAGUUAUACUGUGCUCUGAGUGCAAACCUAUUUUCAUAAGAGGACAGUUUUGAAUUGAAAUAGCUGCUUAUGACCCUGGAAGGAAGGCUCACGACGUGCUGACAGGCACAUGUCCCGGCAGUGACUUCACUCAGCCACAGGUUUGCAAAACUGCUCGCAGCUCAAGACACCUGGGGCCAAGGGCUGGUGUUUGCAUUUUGGGGGGACCACAAUUCCCUUUGACAAUCUGAUUUUACUUUUGAGGUUCUGCAUAUUCUCAGAAGUCCAUUAUUAGACCAGAGUAGAAAUAUGAAGGAUUGAAGAAUAGCAAUUGAACAGAAAACACGAACACACUCCCUUUUUUUCAGAAGAGUAAACUAUAACCUUAGCAAACAUUAGAAAAAUCAAAUGAAGAGAAGGUCACUCACUCUCCAAGGAGAAUGAUUGAGUAUUUUAGGAGUUAGUUUCCUCCUUUCUUUAAAAUGCAUCGUGGGGAUUCUGGGCUUCUCGCUGUCCCCUGGAGUCAUCUGGACAGCAUGGCCUUUGCAUCCCUGGCCCACUUGGACCCCAGUCAUCUAAAACGCAACGUGGAGUGUGGUCCUGCCAGAAGUUACUUAUGGGCUUCUUUCAGCACUGGCAACAGUUGGGAUUCGUCCCAGGAAAGAAAAGGAGAGGCUGGAAGGAGGACUACUGUGGGGUGAUGUCAAUGACCCCGGAUUAUAAACACAGCUCUGAAAGCUUGCUUGUGGGCAGCUGUUGAGCAGAAAACAACUCUGUCUCCUAAGGGACUCCUCAGCAUUGGGGGCGUUCAGCCAGAGUGCUCUGCUUCCUCACAGCGGCAGAUUUGCUCUUGCCUCUGUGCAGAUUCAAUUCCUGCCACCAAUCUCCUUUCCUUCCCACUCGGGUUCCUCAUCGGAUUGGACUCACAUGACAAAGAGGCCUGUGGCAAGGGUUAUACGGUUGUGGUUGGCAGAGGAAUGAUCAGAGAGUAGCAAAGCUGUGGGGCCUUAGAAAUGAUUUAAUUUAGUGCCUGAUUGUACUGCACGAAGUAAUUGCCCCAAGACCUCACAGCGGGCCAACAGGCUAAGGACCCUGGCAUUUCUUUAUGUCUCAUGCAGCUGGUGAAAAGAUGGAUGACGCAGUUUAUGUGAAAAUGCUCUGUAAGUUACAGAGUAUAGGGCCGGAGAUUUAGCUCAGUGGUUCCACAGCCUGCCUUGCAAACGCAAGGACCCAAGUUCGAUCCCCGGUACCAAAAAAAAAAAAAGUUACAGAGUAUAAGCA